rnacentral:tRNA from 1 species
GUCCCGUUGGUCAAGUGGUAAGACACAACCUUUUCACGGUUGUAACGCAAGUUCAAUUCUUGCACGGGAUA